UGGGGGAUGGUCUAAUGGGCAGGAUGCCUGGCUCUGGACCAGGAGGUGGAGGUUCGAAUCCUCCUCCCCCAG
rnacentral:tRNA from 1 species